AUCGAACGCUGGCGGCAGGCCUAACACAUGCAAGUCGAACGUGUGGCGGACGGGUGAGUAAUGUCUGGGAAACUGCCCGAUGGAGGGGGAUAACUACUGGAAACGGUAGCUAAUACCGCAUACCAUCGGAUGUGCCCAGAUGGGAUUAAUUAGUUGGCGGGGUAACGGCUCACCUAGGCGACGAUCCCUAGCUGGUCUGAGAGGAUGACGGGCCACACUAGAACUAUGACGCGGUCGAGAAUCUUACAGAGGGCAGCAGUGAGGAAUAUUGCACAAUGAACGCAUGCCUAGUGCAGCCAUGACGCGUAUAUGAAGGAGGUCAUCGGGUUGUUUAGUACUGACGGCGAGUGAGCGUUACUCGAAGGAGAAGCACCGACUAACUCCGUGCCAGCAGCCGCGGUAAGAC
rnacentral:rRNA from 1 species